rnacentral:rRNA from 2 species
UAGGGAAUCUUCGGCAAUGGACGAAAGUCUGACCGAGCAACGCCGCGUGAGUGAAGAAGGUUUUCGGAUCGUAAAACUCUGUUGUUAGAGAAGAACAAGGACGUUAGUAACUGAACGUCCCCUGACGGUAUCUAACCAGAAAGCCACGGCUAACUACGUGCCAGCAGCCGCGGUAAUACGUAGGUGGCAAGCGUUGUCCGGAUUUAUUGGGCGUAAAGCGAGCGCAGGCGGUUUCUUAAGUCUGAUGUGAAAGCCCCCGGCUCAACCGGGGAGGGUCAUUGGAAACUGGGGGACUUGAGUGCAGAAGAGGAGAGUGGAAUUCCAUGUGUAGCGGUGAAAUGCGUAGAUAUAUGGAGGAACACCAGUGGCGAAGGCGGCUCUCUGGUCUGUAACUGACGCUGAGGCUCGAAAGAGUGGGGAGCAAACAGG